rnacentral:tRNA from 1 species
UGUCCAGAUAGCUCAGUUGGUUAGAGCAAAGGACUGAAAAAGAACGCCAUUUAAACGAUCUUUGUUUAAUCA